CCUCCUCUGACAGUAUGCAUAAUAUUAUGAACAAUCCAAAGGACUAUUCAUGGUGAUUUGUCUGUUUUAUUUAUUACAAAAGAAACUAAGCUUUAUUGCCACAUUACAUAACUAUAUAUUCCUCAUUCUUUUGGUUUGAUGACAAGCCCCACAUAACUAUAUAUUCCUCAUUCUUUUGGUUUGAUUGCAAUGCCUUUGAUGACAAGCCCCUGCUUCCACAUACCACCAUCAUAUUCAAACAAAGAUAUCUCCAUCUCACCACCAUCUUUCUCACAUGCUACAAACUCACCAACCGGAACCUCUAUCCACCUUCCCCUUAACAUCUCCAUUAAAUUCACCUUGUGUUGCUGCUUCUUUCCUCCUGGAAGAACAAGUCUAACAUUUAUCGGAAGUUCCCAACCCUGAGCCGGAUCUUUCAACAUUACAUAAAAUGAAACUUGAUAUAAAAUUCCUGGUGAAAGCUUUCUAGUGUCAAAUUUUCCAUGCACUUCUAGCCAACAAACUCUCUUCAGUUCAGCUACCUCACUCAUCCCGUCGCUACAAAACAUAUCUUACAUUAAUCACGACUAAAAACUAUGUAACGUAAUAUGAAAUCACUCAUAUGUAUGUGUACCUUGCAUCUUUUUGCUGUAUCCAUUUCCAGUAAAUUGGAUUCUCUGCCCAAGUGAUUGAUAGUGCUCUUGCAUACAACAUAAAACAGUUGGCGUUGGUCUUCUUCUCAACCCAAUAUUUCUACAAACAACGGUAAUCAUUUCUCAAUGCAUAAGUAAUAGUUUCAUUGACAAAUAACUUAUACUAAAAAUAAAAAUUCAUUUUGAAACUUGCCUUAGUUUUAUCAUGUAAGAACACACCAGCAUGUAGUCGAUCAAACAUCUUUUCCUUGAAAGAUCUAUCAACCGGUGAGUCUGCAUCCCUUAAUAUGUGCUCAAAGUUGUGAGGAAAACUUAGUUGUGCUGAUUGAGUCUCAUAUUUGGCUUUUACAGCUGGGCCCUUUUGUACCACCUUUCUGGAGGGUUCUAUGUUUUGUUGUGGAGACAGCAACAAGUUUUCCCUUGUGGGAGAUAAUCGUAGUUCUUCCUUAUUUUUGGUUGGUUCAUUUGGUUGGUGAUGCUUUUGUUGUGGCUGUGACUGUGAAUGAUGAUGUGUUUGAGGAUGUUGGUGCUGCUGCUCUAGCUCUGAUAGAGAAAGGUGAUGCUUUUGUUGUGGCUGUGACUGUGAAUGAUGAUGUGUUUGAGGAUGUUGGUGCUGCUGCUCUAGCUCUGAUAGAGAAGCCCCCAUUUCAGUUGGUAUGCUAUAUGUUUUUCAUUCGUGCUUGCUUUUAUUUAUAUAUAAAAUUAGAUACUGUUAUUUUAGAAAGUAAUGUAUUCUCUGAUUAGGAACAUUUGCCUCAGACCGUGAGUUGAUGAUCCUUUUGGAAUAUUACAUAUUGUGAGAAUUUUUUUUACUCUGUAGAAAAUUCUCAAGGUGGUGGUUUAUUUAUCAUAAUGACAUAGGAAAUGUAUUUGUUAAAAAACACCAAAAAUAAGUAUGGGUGAUAUUCAUUUUAUCUGAAGUCUAAUUAGAGUAUUAUUAAACCUGCAUUUAUAUCCAUUAAAUAGUGGGUAUUUAAAUAUCCAUUUAUUUUAUCAGCAGAUAUUCAUUAAGUUACCCGCCCCGUAUUCGUGAUAGAUUUUAUUUGGCGCCACCAACGGAUACACAUUUUUUUUGCCAUCCCUAAAUUUUACCUUCUUCGAUCUUGAGAUCAGAUAUGUCCAUAAUAGUUUUUUUCUAAAAUAAUCUUCAUCAUUCUUGUGGACUUAGGUGCCAAAGCUUCCUACGCCACAAAUUAGUUUCUUCAACUUUAGAUAUGAGACAAGAUUGGGGUUUAUUUUCAUAAGUGGGUGACCACAAGUAGCAAUUGUUAGUAGAUCUAGAAUCCUUCAUGAGUUAAGUGUGUUGUUUAUAUGUAAUCGUGCAUUCUUCGCUAUUAAACUUAAUGCUUAAAUCCUGAUCACAUAAUUAACGGAUGAUGAUGAAAUUUUCAAUAAGACUAUCAAUCAACAACACAUCUUUAAGAUAAGGAAGUCCAAGACAAUCUAACUGACCCUUUUCAAUAAUUUAUCAUCUAACACCAUCGUAAAAACUAACAUAAUAGUUGGAAUAGGGUUUGAUAUUCUUUAGAUAGUUCCUUUCAUUAGCCACAUGUCUUUAAUAAUUUCUAUUAAAGUACUAGUUUUCUCUAGAUGAAACCUUGAGAAAGUUGCAAGCAAUAUUAGCUUGAAGCUUAGGCUUGUCACGUUAUAGUUAUUGAGGAUGCCGAUCAGUCUUUAUAUUCCACUAGGGAUAUAGUUGUUUUUAUGUAGAUUUUUACCAUAUAGUUUAUAACAUAAAGGAUGAAUGUGCCCACACCAACCAUAGUAAUAACAAACCCUUAGAGAUUUGACUAAGGUGUUAGUGUGCUACUAAUAAUGUUAGGUAGGUUGUUGUGACAUUAUACCAUACAUCGUAGUUUCUGAUUUAUGUGUAGGAGGAACAAACACAAUAUUUGGGGAUGAUGAUAUGCUAGUAUAUCAAACUUCUUUUUAUUCUUUGCAAGUUUGUCCAUACUUAAAAUGUCAUCAAGUUUAUCAUAUCCAUAAUUUAGCAUGCGCACAUAUUUGGUCAUACCUUCAAGUUUAGAAUUAAGACGCCCAACUUCUUGCUUCAAAUCAUUAAUAGUGAGCAUGGUUCAAUUUUUUUCUUGAAAAAUAGUUUCAAUUCAUACCUUUUUUUGUUAAUCACUUUUGAUUCUUCAUUCCACUUUAAAUAAAGAGUUUGUAUAUGCUUCAUAAAGGGCAUCAAUCGAUAGCUCAUCUUCAUCACUUUCAUUCCCAUUACAAUUAGGAAAUAUAUAAGCAUUAGGUAACUCCGGAUUAGAAAUCUCUUUGAAACGAGUAGUAAGAGCCACAACAUUAUUUGUUUGAUCAAACUCACGUUCUUUGUCAGAUUCAUCAUCUGAAAAGGCGACAUUAUAGUUUUUUCUUUUUUUUAUUAUAAAAUUAGAACAUUCAAAUUUGAUAUGUCCAAAUCCUUCACAUUCACGACAUUGAAUUUCUUUAGCUCUGUUGGGAUCACAGAGUUUUUUAUUUUACCAUAUUUUCCUCGACGCUAAAAUUUACCACUUUUCAGAUUUUGUUGUUGAUUGUCUUUGACAUUGGAAUGACAUUGUUCCAAAUCUUCUAUCAAUUUUCUCAUGCUAAAGCUCUUAGUGAGUAUAGAAGUAGAUUCAGUUAAAUUAUCAUCAGUGUCAUUGACUACAUGGUCUUCAUGAUCAACAAUGUCAACUUUGGUACACCUUUAUUCUUUCUCUCAGAUUUUUCAUCAAUGACAAUAUCAAAGGUGGGUAAGGAGUCAAUCAAUUAAUUAAAUUUCAUUUUGAAGAUAUUUCUAGCUUCCUCAAUGGUAGUAACCUUCAUAAUAAACCUCUUUGGUGGAGAUCCUAGAAAUUUUCUUAUAGGCUUCUCGUAUGACAUUUUUUCACUAAGAGCGAAUGAGUUAUUAGUAAUGUCACAAAGAUGUACAUUAAAUUCACUAAUAGGUUCAUCCUCAAACAUAUUCAAAAUUUCAAAUUUAGUGGUAAAAAGUUGAAGUCUUGACAUAAAAACUUUGGAAGUUCCCUAAUGAGCAACUUCAAGAUUUUUUCAUUCCUCUUUAGCACUAGUGCUUAUGUUAAUGAUUCAUUCCCCUAACUAUAUUUUUGUAAACUCCAUUGUAAAUAGAAUUAUGAAAAUGAUAACUCCCAAGUGCUUCUUCAUCUUCGACAUAUGUCCAAUCUUUUCCAGGCUUCACAUAUUCUAAAUCAUCAUCAUCUUUGAUCGUAGGAGGAUUUCAUUCAUUGAUGAUCUUUUUCCAAGUUUUGUCAUCCAUGAUCUUAAGAAAGGAGACCAUAUGUUCUUCCAAUAGUCAUAAUUAGUACCAUCAAGAAUUGGUGGAUGGUUAAUAUAUCCUAAUUCCUUGGUAUUGUCCAUCUUAAACAUAAUAUGAUAGAUACCCUAAAAUGCACCCAACUAAAGCAGGGUGCAUGCUCUGAUGCCCAUUAAAAUUAUGUUUGAUCGAUAACAAGAUGUCACACACAAUGUAGAAACAAUGCGUGAGACAAAUUGAUAUGAAAUAAUCGAUGAACAAUCAAAUAAAUUAUAAAUAAGAAACACAAAGAAUUGGUAUCCCAGUCUGGUGCAAUCAUCACUUAUGUGCGGAGGGUUGUAGCCCAAAGGAAAAGAAAUUCACUAAUUAGAAGUAGUCAAUAGUAUACGACGGUCUCAUCUUAAGGAAUAUCUUGAGUUUCUUGAAGAAAGUAAUAAAAUGCUUAAGUUCGAAUUUGCUAGUAUUAGAAAAUCAACUUAAACAUGUGAGACUUGCGUCUCUUUGAAAAAGGAAGUGACAGAUCUAUAUGAAAUCUUAAGUAAGUUUACUAAGGAAAAAUAAAACAUUGACCUGAUCUUAUUAAGUCAAAAUCCUUCCUUAAAUAAAAUUGGAUUUGUUAAAAAUUUCAAGAAUAUCAAAAAUAAAUAUUGGUGAUAUUCCUUUUUUUAAUCUAAUUGGAGUUUUAACUUCUUUCUAUUUAAAUAUUAGAUAAAUAAACAAUCAAAAAUUAAUAUUUUUUUAAUUUAAUUGACAUUUUGACUUCUAUUUAUAAAAAUAUAUAUUGAAGUAACAUUUUCUCUUUUAAUCGAGUUGGUUUUGACAUUUUCUAUUAUUUUUAGUCGAUGAUUUUUUGAACAUUUUUAUCGAUGCUUCACAAAGGACUAAUGGUAAAACAUUUUUUUAAAAGAUAAACUUCAACAAAAAUUGUUUCACCUUAUUUUAAUCUCAUUCUUUCAUACUGAGUAACCUUUAUAAUUGGUCGAAUUGUUACUCGAAUGUUUUGCAUGGAUCAUAUCGCUAACUAUUUCUUGCAAUGAACGAUUCUUCGUUUCACCAAUUCCAUUAUGGUGAGGUGUGAUGAGGGCAGGGAGUUCAUGGACAAUCCCUUCAGUUGUGCAGAAAUGAGAGAAGCUGGAGUUCUCAAAUUAUCUGACAAGAUCGCUUCGAAUGGGAAUGAUAUUGGAAAGUUCUUAUCCCUUUUCACCUUGUAGAGGACGACAAAGAGUUUCAAAAUAAUGAAGGUGUCAUACUUUUCACGAAUAAACUCCAUCUGGUGUACCUGGAGUAGUCAUAAACAUACACAAAAACAUAUCUCUUAUCUUCAAGACUCUCAACUUGCAUAGGUCUCAUAAAAUCCAUAUGAAGUAAUUCAAGAAUACGAGUAGUGGUAAGAUAUUGAGCCUUCUUAUCUGAAAUCUUAUUUUGCCUCCUAAUCUAAUAGUCUCACUACUACAAAAAUCAUAUUUUACCUUGGACGUCAAUGGGAUUUUACCUUGCUUACUUAAGUGAGAUAACGAAUGACGUCAUAAAAACUUGCCAUUUUACCCAUCGGUUUCUGAUUAACUGAGGGGAUAGUUGAAAUUGUCAUUUUUUCGACCCCCAACAACAACAUUUUUAUAUUUUUAAAACUAACGCCACAUACCUCGGUUUCUAUCAAAAACCGAGGGAAAAAUAUUUUUUUGAAAUACAAAUUACAUUGUUUACACAGAAUAUUAAAUUACAUUGUUUUAAAAUAUCUAUUUCUUUAUUAAAGUACAAAGUUUAUUAUGUUACAUUGUUUUGGUUUCAAUAUACAAGUACACAUUUUUGACAAAUCUGAUUCAUCAUCACCACUCUUAUUCUUGAAGAAGAACAAAUCCAUAUUUCGUUGCAUACCCAUUGCUUUUCAAGUUCAAUAGUUUUGCACGCUUUCAAUUUUUGAUUUAACAUAAAAAAGGUUAUAUACAUAACAUAAAAUUUCAGUUAAAAGAUAAGAUAUUAUGUAAGAAUAUCACCCUUGGAACAAUUUUUUUAUGCACUUGCAAUCCAUCCCAGAUAUUUGUUACAAGCUUCAAAUUGCUUUUCAUGGUCAAUGCUUCAUUGUCAAUGUUUAGGUUUCAAAGGACAACGCCUAUGAUAUAUAGUGGUGGUGUUCGUGUUCUUAUUGGAUGUAAUGGGUAUCUUGUGGAUUGAUGUGUUGACAAUAUCUUGAGCGUUGUUACUGUAUGAAUGUAGGACAUAAAUUCAUUAUAGGCUAAUUGAGUAACUAUACCCCUCGGUUCUUUUAUGAAAGAACCAAGGUAAUAUAUUACUUGCAAAACCAAAUGGUGAAUGGUAAAAAGUUGAAAGUAACAUGUAUUAUUUCCUUUUUUAGAUUUUUACCAUUCAUCACUUUCUUUGUGUGCUGGCAUAUUCAAAUAAAGGAUUGUAUUCAAUACAAAUUUUCAAGAUCUUAUAUUAUGAAACAAAAAGAUUUCUUGUAAUUUAUAGUAUGUUUAAGAACAAAUUUCUCAUGUUGUCAAUCGAGAAACAAAUAAAUUAUGGAGUGUUUUUUUUACUGACAACAUAGGAAGUUAUUCCAAAAUAUAACAAUCGUCUUGCAAUAGGUGGAAACAACAACAACAACAACACCGCAAAAACCCAUUAUGUGAGAUAGAUUGCGAGAGCAUAAUUUUUUUUGUUCAAGGUUGGUGUUAGAAGAACAACAUACAACACAAAACCUUGAAUAUUUUCUCUGUCUUGCAAUCCAUCCUAAAGAAAAAUGUGUACGAGUUUGGAAACAAUGGAAAAAACUCAGAAACCCCAAAAAAGAAAACGUGACACAAUGGAAUCAAAUCCAAGUCAAGGGAAUUGGUAGACCAGAGCCUCAACAAUCUCAACCACUAACCUCAAUCUGUCAAACAAUGGCAAUGAAUGAUAUAUAAGAGAAAACAAACGCAAUAAAUGGUAUAACAAAAUGAACAUCAAAACUUAGUACCAACACUAUGCUUUCAUGAACAACCAUGUUUAUCUACUUCUUCACAUUGCAAAUAAACAAACUCCAAAACUCAAACCAAACAUGACACAAAUUCAAGUUCUCAUCAAAAGAAACAUGAAGGUGAUAAUGGCAAAGAUGAUGGCUAUCAAUUAUGAAUUAUUUUUAGUGUCUCACCCUUCAAUGUAUCUACUCAAGUGACAAACAACAAACUACUCAGAAAACAAAAAAUGGCCACUGCAUUUCCAACUUCAUGUUUAAUUAAGGUCAUUUUUAAGCAAGUAAUAAACAAUCUAAAAGAAAUGAAAACCAAGAGAAACAUAAACAAUGCAUUCUCAAACAAACAAAACCAGAAUGAACGCAACAAAACCUUUACACUGAAGGCAAUGGCAAUGGAUGUGGUUCUCGGUGAUGAUAUUGUGGGCGCCAGUGAAACUCACGAUGAAGGAGUUUAAGGAUGGUUCCCAGCGAUGGUAUCAUGGAAGCAAAGGUUGUCGCUUGAUGCGUAUGUUGGUGGUUUACGAAGAGGAUGGUGUUUCUCACGGUGGCUUUGAUGUUGAAGUGAAGGGAGUUGUUUGAAUGAUGAUUACACAGUUGUGAGGAGAAGAUGUGGUGAAUAAGGGUGGUGUCACGGUUGUGAAGAUUUACAGGGUGUGAGUUUUGUUUGGAAGAGUGGAAGAUGAGGUAAGUGGUUGAAUGGUAUGUGGUUUGUGGUUUGUGUAUUUUGAUGUAGGGAGAUGAAAGAGGUAUGGCGUAUGGGAGUUGAAGGUUUGUUGUUUUAUAAUGGAAAAAGAGUGAAGAAGAAUUAUAGUGGAGAGGUAUUUUUAGGAAGAAGAGGGUGUGAGGUUGGUUUUGCGUUUUUGCAGCAAACUCAAAUUAGAGAGAGGAGAUGAAGAAUACCAUACGUGAGGGAGCCAACCAACGAGAUCUUUUUUUUUAUAUUAUGAAAACAGGUUGUCAGCCACCUAUUGGUUCUUAUAGGAUUGUUUUGAAAUAAAAAAGCACCUUUCUCAUGCACCGUGUGUCCGUCUCAAAUUGGCUAUAUCCCUCUUUUUUGUCUUUUUCGUUUUAGUGGAGUGAGAGAAAGAUGCUAGUGGGAAUCCCAAAUGUGUUUCUCAUUUUUUGUGUAGUCUCUCUUGUUGGAGGAACAAAACCAUUGCCAGCUUUUUGUUUAUUUUAUCACCAUCGAGAAAAGCGGGUUCAUGAGAGGGAGAGAAAUUUUGAAUGGAUUUCUUGUGAGGACACAUGGCACAAAGUUAUUAGAAGAAGAGAUAUAUUUUCCUAUUUUCUUGAUUUUCUUUAACAAAUUUAAAUUAUUAAGUGGAAUUUCAAAAAUAAAUUAAAAAUAAACGACACAAUCAAAAUUCAAACUAAAAACAAGAUAAUUUCUAAAUAAUCGUCUCGAUUAUUUUGACUAGAAAACAUAAAUAAAUGGAUAAAAAAUUAAUAAAAAUCGGGCGCAAAAAUGCCCAAAAAAUUAAUAUGGUUGCACCACAAUGAUCAAUGCAAAAUAAACUUCUCGAAAACAUACAGUUUUUUAUCGAAUUUGAAAAAAAAAUGUCCGAUUAAAACGCUCAGGCAAAUGAAAAUGUAACCGAAAAAGUAGCUGAAAAAAUAAAUCGAGCACACCAGGUUAAACUACGUGAAACAUAGAUUAAUAAAAUUGAUGUUUGUAAACUCAAUUUUGAUAUUUUUCGUCCGCUGAUUUGACACACAUUUGAAAAUUGAUUCAAUCAGUCUGUUUGUAGAUCCAAAAAUUUAUUUUGACUAACAUUCUAGGAAUUAUGCGGUAUGGGGUGCAUGUUAUGAUAUGCAGAGAUGCAAAAACUGUGAUAUAUGUAUUGAUUCCGCGAUUCAGGGUCAAAAUUGGGGUGUGACACAUAUGUCUCAUGAUUAUUAACUGAAUAAUAAUAAUAAGUCAUAACAUUAACAUUAAUAUCAUCCGGUCAUAUGUCUUGAUCAAGUAAAAAUAGGUUCGUCCUCAAAUUUGACCUAACCUAAAGGAAUCUAGCUACUCGUGCUGAAAUUAAUCAAUACCAGUAGUUUAGAUUCAAAGAGCAUGAAAAAUCACUAAAGAAGAAGCUCUCCAAUGGCCUUCAAAAUCUCCAAAAUCACUCUAAAACGUCUCUCUCUCUCUCUCUCUCUCUCUUCUCUCUCCUCUCUUCUCCCCUCCUCCUCUCUCUCUCUUUUAUAUAAAGUUGCUGGAACGCGGGCACGUUGCACUAUCAUUACUUCAAUGUUGGCGUAUUGCUUUUCAAUGCUGGCUCGUUAGAGGCAGUGUGCGCAUGUUAUAGUCGUGUAAAAUCCAGGGGCUUCAAUGCGUUUUUGCUCCUUUUUUUCACCAAUUUUCUCACUAAGUCAUUUUCUUCACCCUAUGACGUUUUUUUCCAACUUUUUCAAUUAAAUGCUUCUAACUUGCUCAAUUCUUUUCAGAAUUCAACGAUUUUUCUUGCUAAAUGACGUGCAUUGAUAACCCUUCAUCAUAACCCCAAAUUUAAAUUGUUGCUUGUCCUCAAGUAACCUGUACGCACACUAAAACUUUAUCAAAAAAAUUAGAAACCUUACCACAUGAAUGUCACUUGAUUUUGCUAAUCAAGACCUUCGUUUCAUGAUUAGGUUUAAUCAAAUCUGAUAAUUUAUUACAUCAUCAUUACUUAACAUGUCUCUCUACUUACCAUGAUGCACUCAAUUGAAAGGAUGUUCACUCAAUCAACAUGCAAGGGUAAAAACCAGUGAAUUUAUAAGUUAUCUCCAAAAUCAGUCAGAUCAUAUUUAAACGCACAUAUUUGAGGAUUUUUUCAGUUGUAAUAUGGCUUAUGUCAGGGUAGGAUAAUUUUUGGAUAAUUGGUUUAAACCUUGGAGUUAGGUACCUCUUUGUCCUUCCGUUAUCUUUUCCCUUUCAUAUCAUUCUUUCUUUCAUACUUGGUACUAGAGAUUUUUCAAAUUUGUGGUCUUUUUCAUCAAUUUAUUUUUUGAAAAUGCCAUGUUUUAACAUCUUAUUUUAUUUAUUUUUCUUUUCUUAGACCAAAUACUAUAGUACCCCCAACCCCAAAUUAAGUGUUGCUAACUUCUAAGAGCAACCCCAAACUUAGUGUUAGCUUAUACCAAAAUUAAAAUCUAUCUACCUAACUCUAAGGAGGAUGGAAAGAUUUAUAUAUUUUAAGUCAAGGGCUUAUAAUAGGCUAAUUCUCCGAAGGAAAUGCUAAUUCACAAAUUGGUUAACAAUGGAUAUCAGUCAUAAUGUAAGGGUAGUUUAUAAGUCCGUAGAGUUUUCACAAACAAUUGCCUUUAUGCAUGUUUAUCAUAUCAACUUACUUUAAACAAAUAAAAUGUAAGUUCUAGAUAUUACAAUUGCAUGGAUACACUGAGAAAAAUAAAUAAGUAAACAAAUGGAAAUAUUAUGGCUCAAACCUCACAAGUUUAUAUUUGUAGAUUAAGCAACAACAAUGGUGUCCCCUUUCUUCAUUAAUCAUUACUCAGCAAAGUCACUUUGAUCUCGAUCACACUAUUCUCUAUCUAUUGUGACUUAUUUUCUAUUCAAAGGUAAGGUAGUAAUUAAACUGAAAAAGAAACAUACACAAACAAAAUUCAUUUAUCAAAGACAAAGCAAUACAAAAUUUAGGGCAGACAACAUUUUUGGAGCUCCCCCUUUUUAACUGAUUGGUACAAAAGGAAAUAAACAAAAGGAAAUAAAACAAAAGUAGUAUGUUGGACUAGAAACCAUCAUCAGGACGGAAGAAGUCAUGAAGUCGAGUAAGGUCAUCAUUAUAUUCCUGAUUCUACCUAGCCCAAAGGAUCCUCAUCUCUGCUUGCAUGUUUUCUAAGCUUUGAUUCUGCUCCACAAAGUGCGUCUCUGUCGCUACUAAAGUAGGAGAUUUUUUGCUUAGAUUAGGGACAAAUACAUGAUCUAUGCGAUGAUCAUAAAAAUCUUGGUACCCGACCCAAAUCUCGGGGUGUUGAUGUACAGAUUAGGCGACGCUUCAUGAGCCUAAGUGGUUAUGCCCAAGGAAAAUUCUUAUCACUGAUGCAUUUGUUCAGAACGUUGCUGAUUUUGAUGGGCUUCCUCAGGUGGUUGUUUCAUCUCAGGACGGUAGACAUCAUCCUCUCCUUGCUCCUCUUGGCCUCUGGCUGGAUGACGUGGGUGGAGGGUCUUGCGGAUGGAACUUGUUGUGGUUAGAAGCAUAUGGUUGAUCAUCACCUCUUCUGGGUGCAUCUGGACUCCUGCCAACCUGCAAAAUUUGUUAAUAACACAAAAGUGCUCCCUAUUUCUUUGGGGGGCAUCAUCCAUAAAUUUGAUGUUUCUCGUAAUGAGUAUUCCCAUAUUAAUAUGCUCAUAAUGCAAGAUAGCCGUGAGAGUCUGGCACAUUCUCACCGUCAAGUCAGAAUGAGUUGAAAUGCCUCCAAGGUUUGGAUUAAAAACGAAGCCCAAGCCUUAGGUAUCAGGAGCAUGUCUCUAACCUUCAAAUUAAUAAACCUAUCUUAAGCCAUUAUCCACUCAGUCUCAGGAUGACAAAACUCAGCCAACAUCAUCUGACUCAUCUCAUCAGAUAAUCGCACCUUCCUACUAUUUUGAAUGUUACAACUUGGAGGUGCUUGGAGACGAAUAAGAGAAUUAAUAGCUUGAGGAGAAAAAUCAAUACUUUUACCUCGGGCAUAUGAUGUGUAAUCAUGAGAUUUUUGAUUGGCAGCGUUCACGUAGAACUCAAACCCAAUGUUUUACUUGUCUCCUUAAUCAGCUUAUUCAGGCACGUUCAUCCUCUUGUCUCUAGUAUGUUGUUUAACUCUUCAAAUCUAGAGAGAUGCUCCUGAUCAAAGGCACACUCCCUCAUAAUUAUGAACUUCUUAAUCUGCAUGAGUUUUUAUGCGCUCGGUUCAUUCACAAAUAGAUACGAGGGGUAGUUGGAGCUGAUGAUAUGGAUUGACCAAAGGUACAACUUCUAUUUGGUGGUGCCAUAAAUUAUGUAAACACAAUAGUGAAAACAACAAGUCUUUUGCAAGAAUAUGAUAGUAAUUUGUGAGAAGAAGAGAGAAUUAAGAUUGGAAUGAAAAAGAAUAGCUGAAAAACCACUUUUAAAGGCCAGCUUCGCGUCCAACGUGCGCGUUGAGAUCGAAGGUGCCCGCGUUGACCAAUGGUAGAGCCAACGAUCAUCAAUCCAACGGUCAAAGCAAAUGGUCAAAAUCCCCAACUAUCAAAUCCUUCCACGCGCCCGUAUUUUUUCAGGGGCUAUCUCCAUUUUUCUGUACAAGAUUUUACUUUUCUAUCACUUGCUUAUUGUUACAUGCUACCUCCAUUGCCUUUUUUGAUGAUUCUACUCAUCCAACAAACAUAAAAAAUACGAACACAAUAAAAUAAAAAAUACAUUUAAAUUUAAAUUAAUGGAAAUUAAAAUUAUCUGAUAUGAAAUUAAUUAGAAUGGAGACAGUUAGACUAAUUGUUGCAAUCAGUAGUUAUUAGAGAUUCCUAUGUAGCAAUUAUAUGUGAAUUCAUUUGUCCUCGAUGGAAAACUAGAAUAAGUAGUUUCGAGAUAAAAGAUGUGUACAAGUUGAAGACAAAUCUUAAUGGAUUGAUACAAGCACCUAUAUUGAUGGGUUCCUACUUCAACAAAUUUAUAUUUUAAGAGCUCAACAAUUAAUCAUAAGUUGAUUAUGUACACUUUAUGUUGAUGACGAGAUCAUAAAUGGGAAUGGUGAACUUGAGAAGAAUAAAUUCAUGAAAUACUCGAUGAAUGAGUUUAAGAUGUAUCAUCUUAAAGCCUUGUCAUACAAUAGAAAGAGUACUAGUGCAUCAAAAUAUAUAUGCAAAAGAUGUAAUCGCAUGGUGAUAUAAGAGAAUUCUUGCUAUUGUUGAUCAAAUUUUAUUUAUUUUGGAUGUCUUUUUUGUCCACUCAAUUAAAAGGAAUUGUAUUCUUGCGAACUUGCUAAAGCAAUUUCUAUUUAUAUUCUUAAGAUAUUAAUAUUUAUUCCAAGAUAAAGGCAUCCAAUUCCAAAUAUAGUGUACAUGUUACCAGUGGCGGAACUUACUGCUUUUGUAUUUAGCUAAAGCUUAUUUGAUGUAGAUUCUUAAGUCUGAGACGAUCUUUCAUCUCAUUAUAUGUUCCAAUUCAUUUUGAAGACAACACAAUUUGGGUUAUACUAAACUAAUUCAUAUGAAGGAGAAGUGAUCAAUACAGUAACUGAAAAUUAAAAAACUAAUUCACUAUCGAUGGAGAUGUGAGUUAAUUGAUGAAUUAACUAAAAAAUUAUGUCCUAACAAAAUAAUGGUUUAAAAAUUAUGCAUGAGAGUAUACAACAAAAUAAUGAUUUUUAAUUCCGCAUGAAAUUAAAAAAUUAUGUCACAACAAAAUAAUGGUUUAAAUGUAUCAUCUUAAAUCAUAGAAUGAAAGUAUACAUAUCAUCUUAAUCCUGCAUGUCAAACAAAAUAUAUCAAACAUUAUCUUUUUGGUUAAUCCAACGGUUGCAUUAUGAAAGUUUGAACUAUACGGGUCUUAAGCCCAAUUAACACUUUUAAAAAUUUGUAUUAAAUAUUUUUUAAAUAAAAAUAAAUAAAAUAAUAAUUAAUUUAUGAAAAAAUAUUAAAUAAUAAAUUAUUCUAAUCAUCGUUGUCAACUCAUUAAAAAAAAUUCUAAUCAUUACUGUCACGUCUGUAAAAUUAGAGGAAGACCAACUAAAUCCUAAAUGAUAUAAAAUUCAGGGGCCAAAAAGCUGGUUUUUAAAAUAGAUUGACUAAAAAUAUUAAAAAAAACAUCGAAGUAGGGGACCAAAAGUGCAUUUAAACUUUUUUUAUAAGUGUUUUUGGACUUUUCACACGUAUUAAGAAAAUAAUCAUUGUUGCAUGUCAAAGAGAAAUUACGAAGGAUUUUACAAUAUUGUCUUUUAUUAAUUGCAAAGGAAAUAUAAAUUUAAAUAAUUGAAAGAAAAUAUGAUAAUAAAUACUUAAAGGUGUAAUAGAGAAUAACAUUAAUGAUUUUUUAAUAUUGAAAAAUGAAUUAUAUUUUGAUACAAUUUUUUCUCCAAAGAGACGGAUGAAGUAAUGAAUAAUUAAUGUAGAGAUAUUUUUGGAAUAAAGAUAUUAAAUAAGUUGAUAUUUGUUUAUAUUUAAGAUCAAAUAUUUUUUUCUUAUAAAUAAGGUCGGGGUACUAUUAUAGGAGUACUUUCUCUAUUCUAAAUUAUAAGACAUUUUAGAUAUUUCACACGAAUUAAAAAAUAUAAUUAAUUUUGUAAGAAAAAGAUAAAUUAUGUAUGAUUUUACAAUAUUGUCGAUAAUUUGUUAUAUAUGCUUCAUUUAUUAUAUAUGAAGGAAAAAGUCAAAGAAUUUGAAAAAGAAAUAUUAAUAAAUGAUAAAGAGUAUCUUAAAAAAAUACAUAAUUAAUGUUGCAUUGGAAUUAUAAAGUAACUUACUCAUUCCAUCUUAAAAUAAAAAUCUUUUAAGGUUGUUACAUACAAAUUAAGAAAACUAAUGAUUGAAUAAAUAAAUAUAACAAUUUUAAAAAAUUGUCUUUAAUUAAUAUUGGUUGUCAUAAAUACAUAGUAUGGUUUAAUAACUCGAAUGUAAUAUAGACAAUAUUUAUAACACGUAAAGUUGAUAAAAAUUAAUUAAUAUUAUAUUGAAAAAGUAAAGAGACUUUUAUUUUGAAAUAAGAUUUUCUUAGGAAAACACUUACUUUAGGACAAAGCAGUAUAAUUGAGAAAUUUUUUUUAACAUAUUGACUUAUAUUUUGGGACAGAUAGAGUAAUAUUUUUAGUUAUAUUUAUGGAUCAACUAUCAACAUUAAAUUGUUUAAAAUUAAAUCAAUGGUAUAAUAGGAACACAAGUAUUAAUUAGUUUUAAAAUGAUUGAAUUUUAAUUGUAAUAGUGAUCAAGAUUUAAGAUCAUAUUUUUGCUUAUAAUAAUGACACGAGCGAGUAUAUAUUUGGAAUUAAAAAAUUAAAAGAAUCAAGUUAAUUUUUUUAAAAUAUUUUUUAAAAAAAAAGAUUGUUUUUUUCUUAUAUUUUGUUCUGACGUAUUUCCAGGAUCCCUUAUUUUCUUGUUAUCUGAUGUAUUUUCAAAUAUUCUUUUGUAAUUUUGAUGCAUUUCAAGAGUUUUUUUCUUUUACCCUCUGAUGAAUUUCUAGAUGCGCCUUAUCCCUACCUAAUGUAUUUUCAAAUAUUCCAUUAUCAUUCAGACAUAUUUCCAUCAUUUGUUUUUUUUAUCCGAUGAAUUACCACAUACGAAUGUUGAGUUCUGAGGUAUUUUCAGAAUCUAUCCAUUUUAUUUCCGGAUUAUUUCAUUUAUAUCUCUAAUGUAUUUUCAGAUUAAGUGUUAUGUUCUGAGGUAUUUCUAGAACCUAUCUGAUGUAUUUUUGGAUUUAUGUCAUUAUCUUUAUAAUAUAUUUCCAGAACAUACUUUUAAUAUUUUCUAGUGUCUUUUAUUCAUCAAAUUGUCAUCCCCAGUGAGUCUUCACCUCCAUUGUCUUUUUCAUUCCCUGUGGAUCGCUGUUACAUUUUUCCAUCAUUAUCCACGGGUCCAUUAUCCUUUUGUUCCUCAUCCAUCAUAAAAUCCCCGUGCUAUGAUUCAUCUCAUACCACAUCAUAUUCCUAGCAAACAAAAAUGAAGAAAAAAAAGAGUUUAUGAUGCAUUCAUAACAUUUCAUAAAGGGACAAAAUUUGGAUCCUUUAAUAUUUAACUAUCUCUCACCGCGAUCAUAUGAAGAGUGUCCAUAUUCAUAUUCUUUGGUCGAAGAUACUUAAAUAGGGAAACUGUCAUACUCCAAUUUUUUUUCUCUCAUUCAAUAAAUUGAUGCAUACAUCAUGAUAUUUGCAUCACCUGCCUAGCAUAAUAUGCAUUUCAUCUUACAUAAUGCUUAAAAUGUCAAUCAAAAUAAAUUUUCGAAUAUACAAUUCUCAAAUGUACAUAAAAUUAGCGAGCAAAAUUUUUUGAAAUCAAACUUGUAAACAUCAAUUUUAUUAAUCUACGGUUCGCAUAGUUCAACCUGUCGUUCUCGUUUUAUUUUUUCGACUCCUUUUUUGUCGCAUUUUGAUCAGGUUUAGCAUUUUAACCUAUCAUUUUUUACUUUAAAAUUUGAUCAAAACCUAAUCAUUUUCUAGAAGUUUAUUUCAGGCUGUUUAUUUUAGUCCAUUCAUUUUAAUUUUUCGACCAUUUUUGUGUCAAUUUUUAUUCAUGUUGAGUCCUUUUAUUUUUGUCAAAAUGUUUUCAUUUCGAUUUCAUUGUAAUUAUUUUUAAGUGUUUGAUUUUUAUUUUGCUUAAUUAGUUUUAAUUCAAUUUAUCUCUUAAAAAUAUAUAAAGGGCAUUGUGGAAAUAUUUGAUUUUUAAAAAACCCUAGUGUAGUUAUUAUAUAUAAAAUCACCAAUGACCAGUGGAGAGAGGGAGAAGCAGCGGCAUAUCAUCUCCUUUACUAGUCUCGUCAUCUCUCAAAAUGAGUUAUGAUGAAACCUUUUUUUUCUUGGCAACAUUAUAGUUCCUCUUGUAUUCAUUAAAUGCAUGAAUCUCUUCUCUCAAAUAAAAAGACAAGAGAAUCAUGAACAAAAAGAAAAAAGAAAAGUGCAUAAAACUAAAGGCUUGGUGUUUCACUAUUCAUGUUCUUCUUCAACAAACAUAUAGCUCCUUCACGCCACCUUUCUUCAUUUCUCACCAUCAACAACAAUAAUCUUCAUGUAAAAACUUCUACACACCACUUAAAACCUCAUAAAAAUCACACCAAACAACUUUAAGCAUCAACCUACACCACACUUUCAUGAAGAUCUCCAAGUCCUCUAACACAAACUUCAUAAUCUAUUCUAUUCAACCAACCUUCAUCAUCUCACUAAACUAAUCUUCUUCAACUCUCACACUCCAAAACCAUAAACAACACUGUUGGUGCAAAGGUAGAAUAAAAGAUGAAUAUUCUAUUAAGAGAAUGACGGCUACAAAAAGGAUUAAAAGUUACAAUGAUUGACCCCCUAUUUAUAAGCCUCUAACAAACUUAAAUAUGAAUCAAAUCUAAUAUUUAAAUCUAAUAUCUAACAAACUUAAAUAUGAAUCAAAUCUAAUAUUUAAAUCUAAUAUCUAACAAACUUAAAUAUGAAUUAAAUCUAAUAAUUAAUCUAAUCCAUCCCUUAAUUCAUAUUCCAUCAAAACUUGAACACCAAUUCCAUCCCUUAAUCUGAGAAAUUGAUCAGUCUUGAUAGUUUCGUCAGAACAUCUGCCAACUGCUUCUGAGUGCUGCAGUGUACAACUUCUAACACUCCCCUCUGAACUUGAUGUCUCAGAAAAUGAUACUUGGUCUCAAUGUGCUUGCUUCCCCAUGCAACACUGGGUUUCUGGCAAGAUUGAUUGCAGACUUGUUGUCAAUCAUCAGCUUCAGAGGUUUGUUUACUUUAAUCUUCAGAUCCUGCAAUAGAUUCAGAAUCCACACAGCUUGGCAUGCAGUAACAGCACCUGCAAUAUAUUCAGCUUCACAAGUUGACAACGCCGCAACAGGUUGCUUCUUGAACACCAAGAAAUGGGACCUCCCAGAAAUUUGAAUAAGUACCCAGACGUACUUCUUCUGUCAAAUCUGUCUCCACACCAAUCAGAAUCUGAAUAACUCAGAAGUUCUGACUCAUCCUUUCUUCCAGAAGAAAUAAUACUCCAUACUUCAGAGUUCCCUUGAUAUACCUCAGAAUCCUGACAGCAGCUUGGUAAUGGGACCACUUAGGUUUACUCAUAGAACCUACUAACCAUCCCAACUGAAUAGCAAUAUCAGGUCUGGUAUUGCACAAAUACCUCAGAGAACCAACCAACUGUUGAAGGUUGUAGCGUCCACAUCCUUCCAUCAGAGUCAGAAUCCAGUUUCUGAUUUGUAUCAGAUGGUGUGACAGCAAUCUUACAAUUCUUCAAUUCAAAUCUCUUCAGAAGUUCUAAUUCAUACUUGAGCUGAUGCAAAAUAAUACCUUUCUCAGAGUAUCUGAAUUCCAUCCCUAGAAAGUAUGUCAUUUUGCCUAGAUCAGUCAUUUCGAAUUCAUUCAUCAGAACUUUCUUGAACUUGGCUAUCUCCUGUUCAGAACUUCCAGUCAAGCAGUAUAUCAUCAACAUAUAAACAUACCAGAGUCAUAUUUCCUUCAGAAGUAUGUUGAACAUAGACACACGUACUCCAUCUCACAUUUCUGAAAGCCUUGCUUCUUGAAAAAGAAUCAAUCUUCUUAUUCCAAGCUCUGGGCGCUUGUUUCAAUCCAUAUAGAGCUUUGUAUAAUCUGUACACCAUCCCUUCCUGAUUCUUUUUCACAAAUCCAGGAGGUUGUGACCCGUAAACUUCUUCUUCUAAUGGACCAUUCAGAAAUGCAGAUUUUACAUCUAAAUGCAUCAGAGGCCAAUUCCUGUUAGAAGCUAUUGCAAUCACCAUUCUGAUUGUUUCAUGUCUUGCUACAGGUGCAAACACUUCAGAGUAAUCCAACCCAGUUUUCUGUUAGAAAUCCUCUGGCUACCACCUUGCUUUAUGUUUGCCAAUUGAACCAUCUGGCUUUAACUUCUGCUUGAAAACUCAUCUGACGCUGAUGGCUUUCUUGUCUUUUGGAAGUUCUGUCAGCUUCCAAGUCUUGUUUCUCUCUAUAGCAUCAAGUUCUUCUUUCAUGGCCUUCAACCAGAGCUUCUGCUUAAGAGCCUCUUCUGUACUUAUGGGUUCAGAGUCUACUAACAUGGCACACUGAAUAACUUCUCCUUCAGAGUCUACUUCAGUGUCUUGCAGCAUGUCAAAUUCUGCAUAUCUCUGGGGAUGUUUCUGACUCUUUGUGGUCUCUGAACUUGUUCAGAGUCUUCAACUUCAGAGUUUCUACCUUCAGAUGGUUGACUUCCUCCAGAGCUUUGACCAUCUCAGGGGCUGGCAUAUUUCUAGAGUCUGAAUUGCCACUAGAAUCUGGAUUACCAUCAGAGUCUGGGUCAUCAGAGUCUGGAUCAUCAGAGUCUGAAACAUCAGAGUCUGGAACAUCAGAGUCUGGAACAUCAGAUUCUGGAUCACUAUCAGAGUCAGAAUCAACGUCAGAGUUUACUCCAACCUCAGAAAUUCUGAACUCUGACCUUUCUUCAGAAGUUCUAACAUCAGAAUCAGAUUGAGACUUUUCCUCCAAUUCCAAACUUCUGAUUCCUUCACAAUCACACUCUGCUGAAUUCAAUUUUAUUGGUUUCUGGACAAUAGAGCUUGUAUGCACCUGUACUGUGGUACCCUAUCAGAAUCAUCACUUUGCUUCUAUCAUCCAGCUUCUGUCUUCUGGCUUCUGGAACAUGUUUAUAGCAAACAGAACCAAACACCUUCAGAUGACUAACACUUUGCUUAUCUCCAGUCCACUUCUGUAUUGGAACUAUUCCUUCAACUUCUUCGUAGGACAUCGGUUGAGUACAUACGUUGCAGUGGCAACAGCUUCUCCCAGAGCUUCUGAGGAAGCUUUCU
rnacentral:lncRNA from 1 species